rnacentral:rRNA from 1 species
AUUCCGGUUGAUCCUGCCGGAGGCCAUUGC